CCUACGGGUGGCUGCAGUGAGGAAUAUUGGUCAAUGGCCGUAAGGCUGAACCAGCCAAGUAGCGUGAGGGAAGACUGCCCUAUGGGUUGUAAACCUCUUUUAUGCGGGGAUAAAGGUGUCCACGUGUGGAUGUUUGCAGGUACCGCAUGAAUAAGGACCGGCUAAUUCCGUGCCAGCAGCCGCGGUAAUACGGAAGGUCCGGGGGUUAUCCGGAUUUAUUGGGUUAAAAGGGAGCGUAGGCCGGUCUUUAAGCGUGCCGUGAAAUUUUGUGGCUCAACCAUGAGAGUGCGGCGAGAACUGGAGACCUUGAGUGCGCGGAAGGCAGGCGGAAUUCGUGGUGUAGCGGUGAAAUGCUUAGAUAUCACGCAGAACCCCGAUGGCGAAGGCAGCAUGCCGGCUUCCGACUGACGCUGAAGCACGAAAGCGUGGGGAUCGAACAGGAUUAGAUACCCUGGUGUC
rnacentral:rRNA from 1 species